rnacentral:lncRNA from 1 species
UCAUACUUGCCUUGUGGGUUCUUCGCCACCGAGCCGAUGCGGAAGAUGUCGACGACGAACCUCGCGUUCACAUGCUGGUCCACGAAACAGGAGCACGCGAUUAUGGGAGUGCACGUCGAGACGGCUUCCAGAAUCGAGUUCCAGCCACAGUGGCUCAUGAACAGACCAACUGCGGGGUGCGCUAGAACGGUGGGUUGCAUCACCCAGCUGCUGUACAGUUUGCCUCGAUCGCGAGUUCGCUCCUCAAAUCCUGUCCAUGUAUUUGUUGGAGUUGUGAAGUGAGAAAUGGAGUUGUUGGAGUUGAAAGUGGGAUAUGAACGAGUGAGAUGUGGUAUAAAAGAUUUCGCGCAAGUUAGGAGGGUAACCUGAAGGAAGUAGAUCCUUGAGCUCGUCCUUGAAGUUCUGCUUCGAGACCAUGACCUGGGGUGUUUCAGGUGGUCGAAGAAUCCACAAGAAGCGUUGUCCGCUGGCUUCCAGCGCGUGUGCGACCUCCCGAAUCUGCUCGGCUGGCAGGGAGAAAAUGCUGCCGAAUGCAAUGUAAAGGACCGAGCCCGACGGUUGGUUGUCCAGCCAUUGUUCAACUUCGCCUG